rnacentral:lncRNA from 1 species
GUGGUGGGAUACUAGUAUACUAUAAAAAAAUAUACUCCAAAGGGAUUUCCCAUAUUCAAGAAGGUACUAAUUCACAAAACAGGCUAUGGCUUAAAUUAGACAAAAAUUUCUUUGGCCUUACAUAUGACUUAUACUUGUGUGCUGUUUAUAUCCCCCCCUGUAAAUUCCACUCAUUAUGAAAACGACUAUACUCAGCUAGAAAAGGAAAUAAGUACAUAUUCAAACAAAGGACAAAUUGCCUUAAUAGGAGAUUUUAACUCCCGCACUAGCAGUCACCCAGAUUUUAUAGAAAAUGAUGACCCAGAUCUAUUUAAUAUACAUUCUCAAAAUAUAUUACCUCAAAAUUAUGAUGUGGAUCAAUUUUUAAAAAGAAAUAACCAAGAUAAAAUACUAAAUGCACAGGGUAACAAUCUUUUAGAAUUAUGCUUGUCAUCAAGACUACGUAUACUUAACGGCAGAUACAUUGGUGAUUCUUUGGGAUAUUUUACAUGUUUCACGCCCA